GAUUAUGGUGGUGGACCCGUCUACGACAUGGGUGUGUACAUGGUCUAUAUGACCACACUGAUCUUCAAUGGAGAAGCACCGAUAUCAUCUAUAACAAGUGGGGUCCUCAAUGAUGACGACGAGAUGUACACAACUGUGAUGACGUUUCGUAACAACACUAUGGCAACGCUUUCAUGUACAAUCACAGCAGACUAUCAAAAUGAAGUCUUUAUCAGCGGCACGAAAGGACAUCUCAAGAUGCCGGGUCAUUUCUGGGCUCCCACUGAGCUGAGAUCACUAGAGAACUCAUCGAAACGUUUCAAUAUCCUACACCAGAAUCUACGGCGGAAUAUUCUUAUAUGGACCUCUUUGGUCUGGCAUGUUAUACGAAGCAGAUGCAGUGAAGCAAGCUAUCGAUGAAGGUAAAAAGGAGCACGCCCUUAUGACUUGGAAUGAGACUGAGUUGGUUGCUACUUUGCUGGAGAAAGCUCGUCUAGAUCUGGGUAUCGUCUGGGUUCAUCAAGGCCAAUCACAUAUUGUAGUUCUUGCUUGAAAUUGAUUAGAUAAUUAUCCCGGGGGUGGGGGCUCUUCCAUUGACGAAUAGAUACCAUGCACGACCAUGGGGUCUCGAAAAGCACCCUAAACACGUAUUUUCUUUAUUCUUAAAAUGCACCUCUUAACAAGUAUUGGCGUGUGAAACCCUACCCUUAACAAGUAUUAGAAACAAAACGAUACUCUUGGCAAGAAUUCCCUGAAUUGAACCCCCGAAUUGUUAUGUCCCGGACGUUGGUCGCGUCGGUUUUACCUUUACCUACAUCAUUGGGUUUAGUAGCACUAAUAGUACGAUCCCACCUUCCACACCUCGCCCAAAUCGUACUCUAAACAGGCAGUGUUGACUGUUGGGGCAAAAAGUACAUCCUUUAUAAAACAUUUUAGUCUUAUUUUUUUAUACCCUCCCAAAUCUGACCCUAAACACGUAGCUUCCCUAGCGAAAUAGAUACCCUUUUUUCAUUAUUUUAGUGUUUUUGACACCCUUUAUUACGUUACGUACGUAACGUACCCUAUCUUGAAUCCUUUUUACGUGUUUUUUUUUGGUCGCGCAUGGUAUCCACUCGUCAAUGUAAGUGCUCCCCCCGGAAUAUGCGUAUCUAAGGGUACACAGCAAAAACUGUGGUGUUAACCGGUGUACAUAGAGGACCACACCAGUUAUUUUACACCGGUGUUAAAUUGGUGGUGCUGGUUUUACACCUAUAGGUGUUAUUACAACACCUAUGAUUGUUACAUUUACACUCUUUGGUGUUAUAUUAAAUUUCUAGGGUGUUAUUUUAACACCUCAGGGUGUGGUCCUCUAUUAACACCAAUUGGUGUCAGUUUUAACACCACAGUUUUUACAGUGUAUGGGUGGAGAGGGACAAGGGGAUGCUCCCUCAGUUUUCGACUUUAGAAUAAAACACAAGGAUUACGUAAACUUCAAAAUCAAUGAUAAGAUAUUUUCAUUACAUGUCAUUAUAUAUCAACAAUAACAGCAAAGUAAAUAAUUUCAAUAUCUCAGAAUCAUUCUGUACAAAUUUAUACUACAUAGAAAUAAAACAACACAAUACAUUCGUGAAAGUAGUCAUAUAAUUGGUAAUGAUCAUAUGCCUUAAAAAAUGUGGAUGAAAGCUUGUGAAACAGGUUCCCUAUAACUAACACAAUGGUAUCAUUGUUCAUAAUUGAAAUUAAAAUAGAACCAAUGACAAAGGAUACACUAUACAACAGAGAACAGGACAACACUUAAAGUCCACCUCAGAAAAAUGUUGAUUUGAAUCAAUAGAGAAAAAUCAGGCAAACAUAAUGCUGAAAAUUUCAUCAAAAUCAGAUAAGUUAUAACAUUUCAAAGUUUCGCUUAUUUUUAACAAAAUAGUUAUAUGAACGAGCCAGUUACAUCCAAAUGAGAUAGUGGUGAUGUCACUCACUAUUUCUUUUGUUUUUUAUUGUUUGAAUUAUACAAUAUUUCAAUUUUUUUUAAUUUGGCGAUUAGGACCUCCUUGCCUGAAGCACAACAUGUUAAAAUAAUGGAAUUCCACGUGUUCAGGGAGGAAUGAAACUUCAUUUCACAUGACAAUGACGAGAAAAUAAAAAUAUUUCAUAUUUCAUAUCACAACAAAAGAAACAGUGAGUGAGUGAUGUCAUCAGUUCCUCAUUUGCAUACCGACCGAGAUGUGCAUAUAAAUGUUUUGUGAAAUGAAGCGAAACUUUAAAAUGCCAUAACUUUCUUAUUUUACAUCCGAUUUUGAUUAGAUUUUCAGUGUUAUGCUUGUUGAAUUUUUCUCUUUUUAUUCAAAUCAAGUUUUCGUUGGGGUGAACUUGUCCUUUAAGACGGACAAGAAAAACAUCAUGCAUUUAAAUUUUUAGACUGCAAUGAUUAAUUUGGUUAAGUUUGAGUUUGCGUUUGAAUGCAAAUAAGCUUGGUGAGUUCUUAAUAGACUCAUCCAGAAAAUUGAAUUAAUGAGGACCAGUAUACAUGUAAAUGAUAUUUUUCUGUUUAAAUGGAAUGAUGUUCUCAACAUAGGAAGAUGAAAUGAUGAUAAUUGUAAUGUACAAUAGAUCCAUAUCUGGGGCCCGUUGCAGAAAGAGUUGCAAUCAAUCGCAACUCUAAAAUUCAUGCGCAACUUGAUUUUCAACCAAUCAACAGCGCGCAUUUGUUACUUGCGAUUGAUUUUUUGGCUUGCGUUUAAACGCAACUCUUUCUGCAACGGGCUCCUGAUGAUCAUUUUUGUAGUAGGGUUUGCGAUUCGCCGCAAUUUAAUUGAUACAUAAAACAGCCAAGACGAAGGUGACGUCAUUUAUUUUCAAAAUUUUAUUAGAGUAAACAAAGUUCGUCUGUGUGGGCUAAUAUUAUCUUUGUGAAGUAUGAUAUUUUAAUAUACGCUUUUUUUGGUAAUGAUGACAUAAGCGUUUGUAGAUAAAGAUUUACACAAUGUAAUAUGUUGUGUUCAUGAAUCUAUGAAUAAACCAAGAAAUUUCGUUGAUUUGACUAGAUCGAUUG